CUGUGAGCGUGCGGGCGAUACGGGCAGACUUGAGUACUGCAGGGGAGACUGGAAUUCCUGGUGUAGCGGUGGAAUGCGCAGAUAUCAGGAGGAACACCGGUGGCGAAGGCGGGUCUCUGGGCAGUAACUGACGCUGAGGAGCGAAAGCGUGGGGAGCGAACAGGAUUAGAUACCCUGGUAGUCCACGCCGUAAACGGUGGGUACUAGGUGUGGGUAUCCUUCCUUGGGAUCCGUGCCGUAGCUAACGCAUUAAGUACCCCGCCUGGGGAGUACGGCCGCAAGGCUAAAACUCAAAGAAAUUGACGGGGGCCCGCACAAGCGGCGGAGCAUGUGGAUUAAUUCGAUGCAACGCGAAGAACCUUACCUGGGUUUGACAUGCACAGGAUGCCGGCAGAGAUGUCGGUUCCCUUGUGGCCUGUGUGCAGGUGGUGCAUGGCUGUCGUCAGCUCGUGUCGUGAGAUGUUGGGUUAAGUCCCGCAACGAGCGCAACCCUUGUCUCAUGUUGCCAGCGGGUAAUGCCGGGGACUCGUGAGAGACUGCCGGGGUCAACUCGGAGGAAGGUGGGGAUGACGUCAAGUCAUCAUGCCCCUUAUGUCCAGGGCUUCACACAUGCUACAAUGGCCGGUACAAAGGGCUGCGAUGCCGCGAGGUUAAGCGAAUCCUUUUAAAGCCGGUCUCAGUUCGGAUCGGGGUCUGCAACUCGACCCCGUGAAGUCGGAGUCGCUAGUAAUCGCAGAUCAG
rnacentral:rRNA from 1 species